GCAUUUAGCCCAGUGGGUAGGGCAUGAGACGCUUUAUCUCAAGGUUGUGGGUUUGAGCCCCACAUUAGGCA